ensembl:snRNA U6 U6 spliceosomal RNA
AUGCUUGCUUCAGCAGCACAUAUAUUAAAAUUGGAACAAUACAGCGAAGAUUAGCAUGGCCCCUGCACAAAACUAACCUGAGAUAUCACCUAACCCCUG